UGCAGAUCUUUAUCAUAGAGCUGGAACAUCAAGCAGAGGGCAAGGGCAUCUCUCUGAGAGUGUAGAAGAUCAGUGAAAACACCAACAAGGUAAUCUACAAUGUGUGCUCCUGUUUCAUUUUCAGUCUGAAGCAGCAGUUUAUUCCUGGCUUCUAAUGCAGCAGGGACAACAGCACUGAAUGGAAAUGUUUGAAUAACAGUGUCUUCAUUUAAAGUGAACCCAAUUUCUUCAUCUAAGCCAUCACUGCCCUCAACUAGGAUGUCUACCAUAUCAAGGACAUCAUCAAUGUGAGAGAUGGGGAUGCUGACAUUAUCAGAGUCCUGUUUAAACACGUUAACUUGGAGCAUACUUGCUUCCUGAACAAGGUCUGCUGCUUUAUCUGUAUAUGGAUAAGGAUUUGUCACCAGUUUCAACAGGAUCCUUUCCAAAAAUUGAAUCACUGCUUCCUUUUUGUCUUCUUUUGUAUUAUCUAAGUGUUCCAGCCAAAUUGAAAGUUCCUUCCA
rnacentral:lncRNA from 1 species